GUUCUUCCCUCGGCAACCAAUCGUCCCUAUAUUAGACCCGUUCGGGCUUGCCCGGACUAUGGAGAUAAACGCGCGCGUAAUAAGCGGACUGGACCCGGGUGCGAUUCCCGGCGGCUCCACCAUCACCUUUUCCGGGUAUCGCCGGAGAGCAUGGGGCCGAUCAGCAUCGACAGACGUCUAAAGGUGUUUGCUUUCUCUCGGCCUGACCCACCGCUUCGGGUCAUUAAACUAAAUGCGAACGAUAACUUCGCUGAAGAGUUCGCUGUCGCCGCGUAAUGCGGUUCCGGUGAGUUCGACCUAAAGCCCUGCGGGUUUAGCACCUUCAGGCGGGGCCCGGAGGGAGCCUGGCAACAGAAUCCCUCCACC
rnacentral:tmRNA from 1 species